rnacentral:rRNA from 1 species
GCGUAGGAAUCUACCCCUGUAGCUGGGGAGUAACUCGGGGAAACGUACGAGCUAAUACCGAAUAUCCUCUACGGAGGAAAGCGGGCCUCUUCUUGAAAGCUCGCACUAUGGGAUGAGCCUACGUCGGAUUAGCUAGUUGGUGGGGUAAAGGCCUACCAAGGCGACGAUCCGUAGCUGGUCUGAGAGGAUGAUCAGCCACACCGGGACUGAGACACGGCCCAGACUCCUACGGGAGGCAGCAGUGGGGAAUAUUGGACAAUGGGCGCAAGCCUGAUCCAGCCAUGCCGCGUGUGUGAAGAA